UGUGUGUAUGUGUAUAUACCUGGUGUUUCUGUCUUGUCUUUGUUGGGUCAUUGCAUGCUGUCUCCUGUUGCUGUGAGGUCUCCUGCUGUUUGUCGUGUUACCCUGCUCUCUUUGGAUAUCUGUUUGGGCUACCUGAGUUUUUGGACUCUGUAUUCAGUCACUCACCUGGAAAAAGGAGGAGAAGGGUGUAAGGCAAACUCGGCCCUUGGUCUCUCCUCAUUCCAACAUGCUGCAGCCUUGGACUGGAAUGACCUUCAAAGGAUUUUAAAACUAGACACUUCCAUCUCUGUAUCUGCUUUCAGGAAAUCUCUUGUAGACCUUUUUCAGAUGUCUGCAGUGUUUUAAUUUUUAUUAAAAAUUUUUGAAUUAUAUUUAAUUCUUUUGGCCUCUUUGUCUUCGUAAUUCACUCAACAUUUUAAAUUGUGUUCCAUACUGCUUCCACCAUGGUCCUAUAUAAUCAUAUGUUGCCUUUGCUGCCCUGUUUUCAACUGGAAAACUUGGUUCUUGUAUCAUUGCAUUGCCUUACCUGUUCGGCCAGGUGGUGUCUGUGUGUGUGUGUGUGUGUGUGUGUGUAUAGCACUUUUUUUUCAUGUUAUGUCAUCAAUCCUGUUCUUAUUUUUCAUACACCUCUAUCCCUGUGUGUCCCUCCCUUCAAGAGGAUGUCUUCCUCUUGCCAGGUCAUGUAAAAUAAGAAAAAAUGGUUAAAUAAAGAAAAUAAAAAUGCAAA